rnacentral:lncRNA from 1 species
AAGAUAAUUUUGUUAAAACCGCGUCUAAAGUGGUUAACGCGUUAUUAUCUUUUGGGAAGGCUAUAUUUCAAACUAUUGGUUUUAGUUUCAACUGUAUUGCACGAUUUCUUCUAUAAACAGAUUUGAAAAUGAAUUUGACUAUAGCUAACGUGAACUUUUUCCAAUUAAUCAAACUGGUGCUUUACAACCACAUACAUACCUAGAUUGUUUCAGUUAAAUAGAGUCAUACUCAGCAUUUAUCAGUCCACCUAAUAGGACAAAACAGAGAUCUAAUCCAGUAGCCAAAUUGCACAAUUGCCAACUCCAGACUCAAUUACACACUUGACCAAAUAACACGAAGCUAGGCUAGGGAAUUACGCUAAGUUCAACAUGAUUGCUAAUACUACUUUAAUAUGUCACUAGUUACCAACCCACAAUCACAUAAGUCUAGAUGAAAGUCCACUGUUUCGAUUUACAAUAUAGAAGCAGUCAAAUUAUACAGGUUUCAGUAACAUAAUUGAACAUCAAAAGACAACACUCAAGCUCAAUUCGACUUCCUUUUCAUUUCAUUCUCUCAACUUUACAUCUCGAUGAAGUAGGAAGUGUACCUGAGAUUAAAAUGCAAAAGUGAAGUGGAGAUGAAGGUCAGUCAAGGCAGUAGUGAAUCACAACUUAGAGUCAACACAGCAAAUAGAUUUCAAACCCAGAAAAUACACAGGAACCAACAGCAAACAGUCAGAUAUCACUAGCAGCAAUGAAAAUCACACGACUGAACCCCCCAACGUAUUCGAGAUUACCCAAAACCCCUUGAAAUUGAACUAAAUAAGGCUUGGCUGAUCAGGAACUCGACCUAGAGCUAAUUUAAGCUCGAUUUUCAUAUUUUUUUAAAAUGGAACAGUACACUAUGGAAAAUUUAACUGUUUUAUUUUGGUUUUCUCUUUUCUGAUUUUUUUGAAUUUUUUGGUUUGGUUUUUGAAAUUGAAAUGAUGCUUCAGAUCUUAAAACUACUAAUGAAAGGGAAUUUUCUGGGGAAAUUUUGAGCUUAAAAAUAGGCAAACAAAACAGCUCCUUAUUUUCCUUUAGCCCCUUAUGAAAUUUCACUCUAGUCCCUUAGUUCUUUUACUUACUCAGCAAGCUAACACACAUGUUUAUUCAUAUUCCAUUAUGACCCCCCAAUUUAGAAGCUUCUAAGGUAUUCUAGCCUAAAUUCCUUAUGUGUAUUUCCUAUCAUACCCUUAACCUUUCCCUGAACUAUCUCAUGUUUUACCAGGUUAAUCAAAGAUCAUUAUCAACUUGAAGGCAAGUACACUUAAACCAUACUGAUAAAAACUAAUGUAAAGGCUAAAUUAACCAAAAACACCAAUUAUAAUUCAAUAAACAAACUAAAACCCUAAUAGAACAAACAAGAACCAGAAUCAACCUAAUAAACUAAUUAACAAAACUAAUUUCGAAAUUCCAGAAUUCAAUCACGCAGGAAACAAAAAUAAAGAUUGCAUCACAUGUAAAAACAGACAACAAGAAAAAUGAAAUGAAAACUAGAGCAGUCCCUGACGAAAAAGAACUCCGGCCAAUCACUACUUCAAAACUCGGCCAAUUCUGAUGACUCUUGGCUCUAAAUGACACUCAAAUCCUCACGAGGGAGGCCCAGGGAUCCUUUGACGUCAAUUGCAUGUGCUUUGGUCGUUUUAGGGGAUUGGCCGGAGAAGUAAAAAUUAAUAUUCGAGCCCGUCCGGAUACAUUCGAGAAAAAAGACCAUGAGGGUUGGGUAGAGGAGACUCGGGCGGUUCCAGGGUGUUAUUUUGGGGCCGUUUGGCAUAACCGACGUCAUGGCCAGAAAAUCUUCAACGAGAUAUUCGAGGGAAGGCACUAGCAGGGAUGGAAAGAGGGUGAUCUAGGGAACUUAUGGUGUAAAUUUGGGACGGGUUGGCAUAGGUUUCAGUCGAUGCCGGCGGUGGUUCCGGCGAGGUUCAGAGAAUCUGUACGAGGAAGAAAGGAACGGUCUUUUGGAUUUAUU